GGGUGAGUCGGGUCCUAAGGCGAGGCCGACAGGCGUAGUCGAAUGGAUGAACGGGUGGAUAUUCCCGUACCGACCAUGGACCGGCAAAACCGAGACGGUGAGUACUAACCUCCGCCUCGUGGUGGUUCCUUCCUUCGGGUUGGUUCCGUCGCGUGGUGUUGGGACUGUAGCCGCAGUAGGUCAGCGCAGGGGUGACACGGAAUGGGAGCCGGCCGCGGAGGUGGUUUUCCGUGGUCAAGCACGCAGCCAGUCAUGUAGGCAAAUCCGCAUGGCGUGCAUGGCGAGGUGUGAUGAUGGGAGCCGUUAUGGUUCGAUAUCCGGUUGUCCAGGCCGUCGAGAAAAGCCUCGGCGUGAGGGCCAUGGCCGCCCGUACCCCAAACCGACACUGGUGGUCAGGUAGAGAAUACCAAGGCGAUCGAGCGAAUCCUGGUCAAGGAACUCGGCAAAUCACUCCCGUGCCUUCGGUAUAAGGGAGACCCACUGGGGUGAAGGACCUUGCGUCCGGAGCUUUGGUGGGUGGCACAGACCAGGGGGUAGCGACUGUUUACCAAAAACACAGGUGCAUGCGAAGGCGAAAGCCGCUGUAUAUGCACUGACGCCUGCCCGGUGCCGGAAGGUUAAGAGGAUCCGUCAAUCCCUUCGGGGACGAAGCGGUGAAUUCAAGCCCCGGUAAACGGCGGUGGUAACUAUAACCAUCCUAAGGUAGCGAAAUUCCUUGUCGGGUAAGUUCCGACCUGCACGAAUGGCGUAACGACUUCCCCACUGUCUCGACCAGGAGCUCGGCGAAAUUGCAGUACGAGUAAAGAUGCUCGUUAAGCGCAGAAGGACGAAAAGACCCCGGGACCUUUACUAUACCUUGGUAUUGGCGUUAGGCGCGGAUUGUGUAGCAUAGGCGGGAGGCUUUGAAACGGGUGCGCCAGCAUUCGUGGAGCCGCAAGGUGAAAUACCGCUCUGUUCUCGUUUGACGUCUAACCUCGACAAGUCAUCCUUGUCAGGGACAGUGCCUGGCGGGUAGUUCAACUGGGGCGGUUGCCUCCCAAAGAGUAACGGAGGCGCUCAAAGGUCCGCUCAGCCCGGUUGGCAAUCGGGUGUCGAGUGUAAUCGCACAAGCGGGCUUGACUGCGAGGACGACGGUCCGAGCAGGGACGAAAGUCGGAGAUAGUGAUCCGGUGCCGGCGCACGGGCGCGGCAUCGCUCAACGGAUAAAAGGUACCCCGGGGAUAACAGGCUGAUCAUUCCCAAGAGUCCAUAUCGACGGGAUGGUUUGGCACCUCGAUGUCGGCUCGUCGCAUCCUGGGGCUGGAGCAGGUCCCAAGGGUUCGGCUGUUCGCCGAUUAAAGCGGCACGCGAGCUGGGUUCAGAACGUCGUGAGACAGUUUGGUCUCUAUCCUCUGCGCUCGUUGGAAUCCUGAGGAGGCCUGCCCAUAGUACGAGAGGACCUGGGUGGACGAACCUCUGGUAUGCCGGUUGUCGCGCCAGCGGCACGGCCGGUUGGCUACGUUCGGGAGGGAUAACCGCUGAAAGCAUCUAAGCGGGAAGCCUGCUCCAAGAUUAGGAUUCCGUACGGUCUUGAACCGUUGUAGCCCGCAUGUUGAACACGUGUUUGAUAGGCCGGAGGUGGAAGCCCCGUGAGGGGUGGAGCCGACCGGUACUAACGGGCGACGGCGACAUAAC
rnacentral:rRNA from 1 species